ensembl:lncRNA
AGGCACCGUCCAGUGGGAUAAGCCCCAGGGCUUUGUACCCAGCACCAUGAAAACACCUUCCGCUUCUCAGGACAGCUGCUUCUCCAGGGGAGGAUUCAUGCACAUUCAGCCCUGACCCAUCACAUUCAGCAAUGACCCAUCACAUUCAGCCCUGACCCAUCACAUUCAGCCCUGACCCAUCACAUUCAGCCCUGACCCAUCACAUUCAGCCCUGACCCAUCACAUUCAGCCCUGACCCAUCACAUUCAGCCCUGACCCAUCACAUUCAGCCCUGACCCAGUCACAUUCAGCCCUGACCCAUCACAUUCAGCCCUGACCCAGUCACAUUCAGCCC